GCCCGCGUAGGCAAAUUUGGCAAAGCCGUCGGAUUUAGGCUCCGGAAUUUGCGAGUUCGAGUCUCGCCGUGGGUAC
rnacentral:tRNA from 1 species